GACGAACGCUGGCGGCGUGCUUAACACAUGCAAGUCGAACGCUGAAGCCUGGCUUUUGUUGGGUGGAUGAGUGGCGAACGGGUGAGUAACACGUGAGUAACCUGCCCCCUUCUUUGGGAUAACGCCCGGAAACGGGUGCUAAUACUGGAUAUUCACUGGCCUUCGCAUGGGGGUUGGUGGAAAGGUUUGUUCUGGUGGGGGAUGGGCUCGCGGCCUAUCAGCUUGUUGGUGGGGUGAUGGCCUACCAAGGCUUUGACGGGUAGCCGGCCUGAGAGGGUGACCGGUCACAUUGGGACUGAGAUACGGCCCAGACUCCUACGGGAGGCAGCAGUGGGGAAUAUUGCACAAUGGGCGGAAGCCUGAUGCAGCGACGCCGCGUGAGGGAUGGAGGCCUUCGGGUUGUAAACCUCUUUCGCUCAUGGUCAAGCCGCAACUGUGGGUUGUGGUGAGGGUAGUGGGUAAAGAAGC
rnacentral:rRNA from 1 species